CAUGAAUCUCACUAAGGGUCAGUUUGCCCCAUAGAGUUAUGCAAUAGCAGGGCCUCUGCAUUGGAGAACUCCAGAGGGCACCAUUGGGUUAUAUUUUAUGUUUGCCUAACCUUCAUUGCAGUGAGUAGGUGCAUUCUUUCCACAAUGUCCUGAGGUCUAAAGGGGUAGAGUUCUGUGUGUGGCAUUUGAGUCCUGAAAAGAUGGGAGCCCACAAAACUGGAGAAAUACUGCAGGCAAGGUAAAAGCUUUCUUGGAGCCUUUCUCUUAAUCAGUCCUGCCUCAAACAUCCCUUCUGCUGAAACAAACUGUGAUUAAUCCGCUGUACACCUAACACUCCACUAAAUGGGGCACAGUGCAAAGGUCUGUAAUGAGAAUCUUUUUUAAAGUAAAGCAUAUACAUCAGUCUCAACACAGAGAUCCCAGACCACCACUCAUGAUGCCAGGCUGGAGGAAGUAGCAGGCUAGAGGAAUUCAGGACAGAUGAGUCAGGAAAGAGGACCCAAUGCAGAGCUCACAUCCCACCUUCCUCUCCCAUGGCAAAGCACUGACAAACCCCUGCCAAAGGUGAAGCUCAGCUGCAAAGCAGUGUGGAGCUGGACCCAGGAUAGAUUCACCCGGAGCUCACCACCGCAGGGAAUGCUGCACUUUGACCAGGCAGAAUGUAUCCUCCAUGCCCACAGAGCAUGUGCCUGGGGUUGAAUCUCACUGUAUCUCACCCCAGUUCCUCAUGAUGGGCCCCAAACCUCUUCUUUUAUAGUAAUAAAGAAAACACAC
rnacentral:lncRNA from 1 species